AUUGAACGCUGGCGGCAUGCCUUACACAUGCAAGUCGAACGGUAACAGAUCUUCGGAUGCUGCCGAGUGGCGAACGGGUGAGUAAUACAUCGGAACGUGCCUAGCAGUGGGGGAUAACUACUCGAAAGAGUGGCUAAUACCGCAUGAGAUCUACGGAUGAACGCAGGUGAUCGCAAGACCUUGUGCUACUAGAGCGGCCGAUGGCAGAUUAGGUAGUUGGUGGGAAAAAAGCUUACCAAGCCGACGAUCUGGAGCUGGUCGGAGAGGACGAUCAGCCACACUGGGACUGGGACACGGCCCAGACUCCUACGGGAGGCAGCAGUGGGGAAUUUUGGACGAUGGGCGCAAGCCUGAUCCAGCAAUGCCGCGUGCAGGAUGAAGGCCUUCGGGUUGUAAACUGCUUUUGUACGGAACGAAAAGCCCUGGGUUAAUACCCUGGGGUCAUGACGGUACCGUAAGAAUAAGCACCGGCUAACUACGUGCCAGCCGCCGCCGUAACAC
rnacentral:rRNA from 1 species